GGCAUGGUCCUGCCUUGGACAAUAUUGCCUGGGAAAGAUAAAUGAGAAUGGACAGGGACUAUCUGAGUUUUGUUCACUUACAAAAGUGACAUUCAUCAACUUGUGGUUGUACAGUCAAAGGUACUUGAGUCAUUGGCAUGUUAAAGUAAUAUACCUGCACGGUAGCCCCUCAGUUCUGAUGUGAACAACCUGUUACUCCAUCCAGGCUGUUGCUGCCAUCAGGACUUUGAUGUAACUAACACU